ACGGGAGGCAGCAGUGAGGAAUAUUGGACAAUGGGGGCAACCCUGAUCCAGCCAAACCGCGUGAGGGAUGAAGGUCCUACGGAUCGUAAACCUCUUUUAUGUGGGAAUAAUUGUUGGUAUGCAUACCAACUUGAAGGUACCACUUGAAUAAGCAUCGGCUAACUCCGUGCCAGCAGCCGCGGUAAUACGGAGGAUGCGAGCGUUAUCCGGAUUUAUUGGGUUUAAAGGGUGCGUAGGCGGGACGUUAAGUCAGUGGUAAAAGCGUGUGGCUCAACCAUACCAAGCCAUUGAAACUGUCGUUCUUGAGUGUAAACGAGGUAGGCGGAAUGUGACGUGUAGCGGUGAAAUGCUUAGAUAUGUCACAGAACCCCGAUUGCGAAGGCAGCUUACCAGCAUACAACUGACGCUGAGGCACGAAAGCGUGGGUAUCAAACAGGAUUAGAUACCCUGGUA
rnacentral:rRNA from 1 species